CUGUACACAUUGCACACACUUUCCCUUCUUCUAUGCAUACUCACACCCACACCCACACACGCACACACAUGCAGAUAUGAACAUGAUGGCAGACUCAAAUGUGUCUACCAGAUAAGAUUCAUUCCAACACUCACUCAACAAUAAGAGAGAGGACUGAAGGAUAAACAAUUCAAUAGAAAUGUCAACCUAAAAGGCAUCUCAAUUCUGUCUGGUGCAGCUACACUAAGGUAAUCUCUGGCUAAAGAAAUCAAAGGCUUCUAUCUACUUACAGCACUAGAGGGACAUAAUAUUGUAUCCACUCAUUAAAUAUAAAACCUAAAAGUGUAAAUUACUGGCCUCCUGCAACUCCAAUCGAAAUCUUAAAUACCUAACAUUGUGCCCAAAAUUCCUUCUUAUGCAAAUUAUACACUUGAAAGAGGCACUGAAUGUUCGAAUAUUUAAAGUCUAACUAAUAUUAAUGAACUAGGAUACUUUACAAGGGUCCAUGUGACACACUGUACUGCCACCAUUCACAUCCAGCUCAAACUAUCUGAGGAAAAAGUAACUGUGACCUCGGCAAUGACGCACACCUCUCACAAAGCUACCGACAAACAUUUCCCAGGCAACGGAAUCUUGAUGAACACUGACAGGGAAGGCUCGUGGGAGGACAAGAAUGAAGGGGACAAGACGUUGGGGCUUGACGCAUUCAAGAAGGUGCAGCAAGAUGUGAUUCACCAGAUAAUAAUGAGUGAAAAUGACAAUACUUUGGAGACUGAAAGUGUUAAAAAAAGACAGCCACAAGACAUGAUAAAGGAAACUGUUAUGACUUUAUGAGUUGAGGAAGAAUGAAGAGGACAAGACUUCGGGGUUUGACAUGUUCUGAAAAGCUGCAAGGUGACACCAGACAAUCAUUAUGAGUGAAAAUGACAACACUUUGGAGAAUGACAGUGUUGAAAGGCAGUUGCAAGACAUGACAAAGACAACUGUUAUGACUUUGGGAGUUGAGGAAGAAUGAAGAGAACAAGACUUCAGGGUUUGACACAUUUUGAGAAGUUGCAAAAUGUGCUUCACCAGACAAUUAUUAUGAGUGAAAAUGACAACACUUUGGGAAUGGCAGUGUUUAAAAGGACAACUGCAAGACAUGAGAAGAAGACUGUUAUGACUUUUAUGAAUGAUUACCAUAAACAUGACUUUUGGGGGUGAUGUUUUGAGAGGACGAUGCAAGAUGUGAUGCAGAAGAUAAUUUUUAUGAAUGAAAAUGACAAUAGUGAGGGUUGGUAGCAUUCCGAGAUGAGAACGAUAAGAUGUUAUUCAGGAAAUUAUUAUGAGAGAGAAUGACAUAAAGAAUGAAUGAAGACACUGCCCUUGAACUGACUCCUCUGCUGGAAAAAAAAAAACAUUAUUCAGAACAAAAGUGAUGUGAAUGAAAAUGAGGUGAUGAGUUGAUGACAGUGAAAAGACAAAAGAAUAAAAACAUGAUUCAGAACAAAAGUGAUAUGAAUGAAAAUGAGGUGAUGAGUUGAUGACAGUGAAAAGACAAAAGAAUAAAGACAUGAUUCAGAACAAAAGUGAUAUGAAUGAAAAUGAGGUGAUGAAUUGAUGGCAGUGAAAAGACAAAAGGAUAAAGACAUGAUUCAGAACAAAAGUGAUAUGAAUGAAAAUGAGGUGAUGAAUUGAUGAUAGUGAAAAGACAAAAGAAUAAAAACAUGAUUCAGAACAAAAGUGAUAUGAAUGAAAAUGAGGUGAUGAGUUGAUGACAGUGAAAAGACAAAAGGAUAAAGACAUGAUUCAGAACAAAAGUGAUAUGAAUGAAAAUGAGGUGAUGAAUUGAUGACAGUGAAGACAAAUGAAUAGACAUGAUUCAGAACAAGUGAUGUGACUGAGACAAGUGAUAUAAAUGAAAAUGACAAGACUUCAGGGAUUGAUUGACAUGUACAAGUUAUCAUUGCAGACUGAGAAGAAAAGUAUCAUGAACAAAACUGACAAGCCUAAGGACUGAAUGAAAAGGGACACAACCUCAGGACUCAACAGACAUGUAUAAGCUAACAUUGCAAGACAUGAUUGAAAAGAAGAGUAUCAUGAUUGAGAAUGGCAAGACUAAGGGCUGACAUGUUCGCUUCAGAGGACAGCUGUUAUCCAGAAGACAACCCCAGACCAAAUAUAAACAACUCUCCUCCUCACAUCAGCUUUGGGGAUCAAGAACAUCUUUUGUGCUCUGGGUCAGUGCUGAAGGCAAGACUUGGUACCUUUUAUGUCCUAUCUGUUUAUUCUUGUCCACUGCAUCUUUUUCCAUUCCUCUUAAGUUCGAUAUGCAACUGAACAAUCAUAAAAAUAAAGAAUAUAAAUCACUCUUAAGUCACCUAUGUCUUAUCUUAACACCUCGGUUAAAUGUCCAAGAUGUUUAUUUUCCUGAUACAAGCAUUGUCACAGAAACUGGUGGACAUCCCCGAACUCUCAAUACACUAAGGAAGAUUAAAAAUAUGACCUGCAGAAGGAAACACACAUUGAGAGGGAAGAAAAGACCCCGAACUCUCGACACACAAAUGGAGGUUAAAAACAUGACCCACGGAAGGACACACACACCGAGAGGGAAGAAACACAGAACAGUCGACAGUACAAAGACCAAAGGUAUUUAUGUGGAUAUUAACAGGUGUAAGAUUCUCACUGGCAGAGAUUGAACAACUCCUCCUGGCACUCUAUAUGCAGAUAGUACUUGUGUACCUGAGCAGGAGGACAAAUAAAGGUGUGGUUACUAUUCAAGAAGGUUACUCAACAUUACAACCAUCUGGGAGGACUUGGUAUCAAUGGUAUCCAGUAUGAAAAAGCUACGGCAAAGUUCUAUUUCAUCUUUUUUUGUCUUUUUUUGACUAGUCUUUUUCCUGCAAACUGUAACAAGGAGAUCAAGAAGCAUGAGAUCAGCUGAGGGCACAUAAUCCAAGCUGCAAUGAACGUUGAAAAAGAUGUACAAACAGACGCUGAGGAAGGAGGAACAACUGUAUCUCCCGACGAGUGGUUACGAGACGCUUGCUAUGGACAAAAGUCACGUUAGAAAGAGCUGCCUUAAGCAUGGAUGGCAAUGGUGGUGUUUGAGUUGAAAAUCCACCAAGUUACAUAGGAUGGGAUGGGGGUUAGUCUGUAGUCAUGCAUGUGUUUGUGUGUGUGUGUGUGUGUGUUUCUGAGUAGCCAAGGUGUAUGUGUGUUUCUGAGUAGCCAAGGUGUGUGUGUGUUUCUGAGUAGCCAAGGUGUGUGUGUGUUUCUGUGUAGCCAAGGUGUGUGUGUGUUUCUGAGUAGCCAAGGUGUGUGUGUGUUUCUGAGUAGCCAAGGUGUGUGUGUGUUUCUGAGUAGCCAAGGUGUGUGUGUGUUUCUGAGUAGCCACGGUGUGUGUGUGUUUCUGAGUAGCCACGGUGUGUGUGUGUUUCUGAGUAGCCAAGGUGUGUGUGUGUUUCUGAGUAGCCAAGGUGUGUGUGUGUGUUUCUGAGUAGCCAAGGUGUGUGUGUGUGUUUCUGAGUAGCCAAGGUGUGUGUGUGUUUCUGAGUAGCCAAGGUGUGUGUGUGUUUCUGAGUUGCCAAGGUGUGUGUGUGUUUCUGAGUAGCCAAGGUGUGUGUGUGUUUCUGAGUAGCCAAGGUGUUUUCCACAUGUCAUAUACAGUGUGUUUGAGUUGUCUCCAUAUUUACGUUUAUCUACAGUAGCUUAUUAAAACCUGUGUGUAUAUGUGUGUAUAUGAUUGUGUGUGUGUGUGUGUGUGUGUGUGUGGUGUGUGUUCUGUUCUGGUAUCCUCCCCAGCGUUGCCAAAUUAUCGCACUCAUCACAUUGCAUUUUGUAGUUUCUAACCAAUAACGAAUGCAAAAACAAAUAAACAAACACCAAUAAAUAGGAGUUUUAACGCCAACUUCAAUUUUCUAUCGUUAUUUGUGUAGGUACGAGAGUUUGAGGCUUAACCCUUUCUUUCUUGGCGUGGGACAGGCAGCGACUAUCCCCUCAGGCGCAGUCAGGUAGCCCAAUGGGGGGGGUCUCUUUCAACCUCUGUAUCUCAAAAACUAUUUAUCACAAUUAAAAAACAAAAACACCACUGGAAAGAGGAGGCCCAGAUCUAUAGGAGUCGGUUAUGUAUGCCUCUCCUGCGAAUGUACAUGCACGUUCAGGGAGUGACGAAUGUGAACACCUACGUCAGUGCGUGCAGGAUGAUCAGCCAAAUUGAGGGAACUGCGGACAUCUUUCCUUGAGAUUCUGGCAAGGCUGUAUUGCCAACUGCAAUAUUUAGAACUAUUUGGUCAAAGAAUCAGUCAGGUGAUAGGUGAAGCUAUGCAAAAAUGCCGCUAUAUUGGUAAAGAACAUCCACCAGUUACUCGUCCGAAGAUUUGUCGUGAUGGGCUGAUAUGAUUUUCCACCAAAUUUAGUGAAAAACCCACUCAAUUGGUAAUCCUGUGUUGUGAAAAAUAGAGUUGGAACACUCUCAUACGCGGGAGAUUUGAGUG